rnacentral:lncRNA from 1 species
CUCCUAAUCUGUGCACUGUUCUACUGCAGCCAAAUUUACUUUUAACCUUUAUGUCACCCAGCCAGAAUGUUAUGUAUGGUGAGAAGUGAGAAAGGAUGCUGGGUGCAGGACAGGGACCUCGUGACUUGCCUGGAUUCAGAGCCGAGCAAUGAGAUCAACAGUACAACCACUGACCUCCCAUUGUUCCCCUUGGCCAGAUGAAGGGCCCUGGCAGCUGUGGGCUCAAGAACCUCUCAUGAAGCACUUCUACAUUGCCUUCGCUUCUGGCCCUGGCUGGGUGAAUCCUCACAGCAGUCGCUUGCAGCUGAGUACAGUGCAGGACAUGGAGGUGAUCUCCUGCCCGCUGAGCCCGCUGCCCACUCAGAGAUGAGGCCUGGUGAGAUUCAGGCUUCCCUCACUUCAUGAAUUCCUCUGUGCCCCUCAGGCUGUGCCCUGGAGGACAGAAUGGAGGACUCCUGGCCUCCCUGAUCCCACCGCAGCAGAUACAAGGUAAG